rnacentral:rRNA from 1 species
AGGGUUUGAUUAUGGCUCAGGAUGAACGCUAGCUACAGGCUUAACACAUGCAAGUCGAGGGGCAGCAUUUUAGUUUGCUUGCAAACUAAAGAUGGCGACCGGCGCACGGGUGAGUAACACGUAUCCAACCUGCCGAUAACUCGGGGAUAGCCUUUCGAAAGAAAGAUUAAUACUCGAUAGUAUAGUUUCACCGCAUGAUGAGACUAUUAAAGAAUUUCGGUUAUCGAUGGGGAUGCGUUCCAUUAGGCAGUUGGUGAGGUAACGGCUCACCAAACCUUCGAUGGAUAGGGGUUCUGAGAGGAAGGUCCCCCACAUUGGAACUGAGACACGGUCCAA